UCCUCAAGUCCACUUGAUUGUGGCUUCAGGCCCAGAGAGGGUGUAAGGCCCGUGGAGGCGAGUUGUCCGGUACCCGGCACGUCCUUAGAGUCGGGUUGUUUGGGAAUGCAGCCCAAAGCGGGUGGUAAACUCCAUCCAAGGCUAAAUACUAGCACGAGUCCGAUAGCGAAGAAGUACCGCGAGGGAAARKUGAAAAGAACUUUGAAGAGAGAGUUCAAGAGUACGUGAAACCGCUGAGAGGCAAACUGGUGGAGCUCAAAUGGUCUUGCGGAAUUCAGCCCUUCCUACUAGAGAUGGUGUCAGUUGUGAGAUCUCACGACUCCGCUGGCGCUCUUCUUCGUGAAGGAUAGGUGCACUUUCUGCUUGACCGGACCACGACCAGCGACUUGUCUUGUCUGACGUGGGUGGAAGGUAGCGUGCCCUUCGGGGAACGUGUUAUAGCCGCCCAUUCGGAGUGAGCAGGGCGUUGGAAACUAAAGGCGCUUGCCCUUCGGGCUCGUACGUUGUCUCUUCCCGAUGUGUCGCCGGCUUCACUGCCUUUGGCAGGGGUGUUGGAGACGCGUUUGUUAGCGGCGGCCUCUGCGAUUGGCGUCGAAAGUCUGUGGUUAUGAAGUAGGCAGUCCACCUGACCCGUCUUGAAACACGGACCAAGGAGUCUAACAUGUGCGCGAGUCAUUGGGUUCUACGAAACCUAAAGGCGCAGUGAAAGUGAAGAUCCAUUUUGUUGGAUUGAGGUGGGAUCCUGAGUCACGUGCUCGGGCGCACUACCGGCCCGUUCGACAUAUUUUUAUGCGGGCGGAGCAAGAGCGUACACGUUGGGACCCGAAAGAUGGUGAACUAUGCUUGCGCAGGUCGAAGCCAGAGGAAACUCUGGUGGAGGACCGUAGCGAUUCUGACGUGCAAAUCGAUCGUCAAACGUGAGUAUAGGGGCGAAAGACUAAUCGAACCAUCUAGUAGCUGGUUCCCUCCGAAGUUUCCCUCAGGAUAGCUGGCACUCGGGAAACGAAACAGUUUUAUCCGGUAAAGCGAAUGAUUAGAGGUAUUGGGACGAAACUGCUCUCAACCUAUUCUCAAACUUUAAAUGGGUAAGAUGCCCGACUCGCUCAAUGGAG
rnacentral:rRNA from 1 species